rnacentral:rRNA from 1 species
AUUGAACGCUGGCGGCAGGCCUACCACAUGCAAGUCGAGCGGAUGAGAGGAGCUUGCUCCUCGAUUCAGCGGCGGCAGGGUGAGUAAUGCCUAGGAAUCUGCCUAGUAGUGGGGGACAACGUCUCGAAAGGAACGCUAAUACCGCAUACGUCCUACGGGAGUAAGUGGGGGCACUUCGGACCUCACGCAAUUAGAUGAGCCUAGGUCGGAUGAGCUAGUUGGUAGGGUAAAGGCCUACCAAGGCGACGAUCCGUCACUGGUCUGAGAGGGUGAUCAGUCAGACUGGGACUGAGACACGGUCCAGACUCCGACGGGAGGCAGCAGUGGGGAAUAUUUGACAAUGGGCGAAAGCCUGAUCCAGCCAUGCCGCGUGUGUGAAGAAGGCCUUCGGGUCGUAAAGCACUUUAAGUUGGGAGGAAGGGCUCAUAGCGAAUACCUGUGAGUUUUGACGUUACCAACAGAAUAAGCACCGGCUAACUUCGUGCCAGCCGCCGCUGUAAAAC